CCGCCGAAGCCAAGCUCACCUGCAGCUGCACCUGCGCCCGUCGCCGUCGCCGCCGCCGCCGCCGCCGCCUCCUCAGCCGCCGCCGCCGCCUCGCUGAGGCCCAGUCCCCGGGGAGCCUCCGCGUCCCGCCGCCGCCGCCACCGCCGCCGCCGGAGCCGGACACCCCAAAAUGGCGGCACUUCCGGCGCCUACCACCGGGAGACGAGGGAGGGGUGCGGUGGAAGGAAUGAACCACCGCGGCGCCGCCCUGAACUCCGUACACCCCCGCGCGGGGCUGAAUGGAAGGGGCGGGGGUGGAGGGAGAGGAAGAGCGCGGCAGCUCCCCCUGGGGUGGGGGAGUGGAGAGGCGUCCCUCGGAUAGGGGGCUGGACCACUGGAAGACAGGGAGCUCGGUCUUCAAAGAGGGGGGUCACCGAGCCGCGCAAAACUCAAAGCGGGUCUUGGUUGGACUGGACAGAGGUGCAAACUGCGGUUGAGUGGGACUCUCCGACCAGUGGCAGUCCGACCUCGGCUUGCCCACUUUCGGUGAUGGGGAACUCACUCUCUAGUGCGACAAGUCCGUGCAUUUUUCUAAGUGCAAUAGCAGCCUAUAAGCCUAGUCAGGCAAAACAAUUCCCACACGUGUCUCCUGCUUUUUAAGUCCAUCACUAGUGCGAGGUACGAGAGCCGGAAGCACCGCUAUAACUUUAAGAAGUUCCUUCUUCCCCGAGCUGGAAAUAAUGGAAGUGGAGCCCACAUUACAAGUCACGGGACUACCUCAAAAAGAAAUUGAAUCUUAGGACCAUAGAUCUGGAAUUGGAAGGGACCCACUGGCCAACUAGUUAGCCUCUCCCCCCUGUCUCCCAUAUUGAUGGAGAAAUGAAUGUCCACAGAGGUGAUAUGACUCCUCCAAGAUAACACAGGUCAAGAGCCAUUUCUAGGAAAAGCCCUCCUCAUCACAUCAGCUGCUAGGAUUGUUGUUUUAUGCCUUUCAUUCUGGAGGAUGACUAUGACAUCUGGGAGGUGAUGCUGCUAGGAAGAAAGCUUUUGAGGAGUGAUUCUUUGUACUUUUUAUCUCUAGUACCCAAAAGAUAUUUAAUAAAUGCUCAUUGACUGAUUCCUUUACCU